rnacentral:rRNA from 1 species
AGUGAACGCUGGCGGCAGGCCUAACACAUGCAAGUCGAGCGGCAGCGCGUCCGACCACCCUCGGGUGGUCGGAUGGCGGCGAGCGGCGGACGGGUGAGGAACACAUAGGAAUUUGCCUUUAGGUGGGGGAUAGCCCAGGGAAACUUGGAGUAAUACCGCAUGAUGUCGAAAGACCAAAGCAGGGGAUCGCAAGACCUUGCGCCUUUAGAGAAGCCUAUGUCUGAUUAGCUAGUUGGUAGGGUAAUGGCCUACCAAGGCGACGAUCAGUAACUGGUCUGAGAGGACGAUCAGUCACACCGGAACUGAGACACGGUCCGGACUCCUACGGGAGGCAGCAGUGGGGAAUAUUGGACAAUGGGCGCAAGCCUGAUCCAGCAAUGCCGCGUGUGUG